rnacentral:rRNA from 1 species
AGCAGUCGCCGCGGGAAUACGAAGGGUGCAAGCGUUAAUCGGAAUUACUGGGCGUAAAGCGUGCGUAGGCGGUGAGUUAAGUCUGCUGUGAAAUCCCCGGGCUCAACCUGGGAAUGGCAGUGGAUACUGGCUCGCUAGAGUGUGUCAGAGGAUGGUGGAAUUCCCGGUGUAGCGGUGAAAUGCGUAGAGAUCGGGAGGAACAUCAGUGGCGAAGGCGGCCAUCUGGGACAACACUGACGCUGAGGCACGAAAGCGUGGGGAGCAAACAGGAUUAGAUACCCCGGUAGUCCCUGUCUCUUAUAC